GUGCUUGCUUCAGCAGCACGUAUACUAAAAUUGGAACGAAACAGAGAAGAUUAGCAUGAACCCUGUGCAAGGAUGACGUGCAAAUUCAUGAUGUGUUCUGUAUUUAA
ensembl:snRNA U6 U6 spliceosomal RNA